GGGAACUUUACUCAUUACUCCCAGCAAAAGCCAUGAGUGUAGAUGGUGCAUGAGAGGAAGGAACUGAUCCCUGCAGAACGCCAGAAUGGAAAGGCAAGAAACAGCCCAAGGUCUGAAACCAAAUGAACCCCCACCCCCAGGCUGCAGUUCCCAGUGCCCUUGGAAAUGAGACCCUCAUGCCUCCAGAUGGAAGAUACACAGGGCCCCAGAGGAAGCAUUUUUCCAGGAUUUUCCAACACUGUCCAGAAGAAGGGAGUCUUUGAUCCUCACACCAGGUCCAAGGAUUUUUCAAAAAUCACUACUUCAUGAUCAGACAAGCACUAGAGAAAUAACAGAAUCCUGUUGCUGGCCUGCAAACCUGGCAAACAUGUGUAAGCAGACCUCCAUCACUGGACCGCAGCAGGACACAGGGAGGACCCGCCCAGCAGCAACUUCCUUCCUAACUCCAAAUUCACUGCAAAUAAAGUCCCUCACCACCAGUGACCCAGCCAUUGUGCGUCUCCGGACUCUUCUGUAUCUUUAGCAAAGGCCACGUUUUCCAGCUCUGCCUGUGGGCGUCUGACACACUUCCUUAAAGGCCUGGAGAGAGCAGGAUAUGGAGCGUGGCCCUGUUCACUCUGCAAAGGUUUCCACAACCUUGAAAACAUUUCCCUGCCUCUAACAUGUUCCUACCAUACAUGUGACACAGUCAGGCUCCAUUCUAAGUCUUACGCAUUCAGUUAACAAAAAAUAAUUGGCUGCCUGCCCUGGGCUUGGCUUGGCACUUGCUGUGUACUUGGUACCAAGUUGAAGAGACGAUAUCUGGCCCAAGGGGGCUGCAGUCUGAGGCAGAGAUGGCGAGCACACCGAGGUACUUCCAAGGUGCCCUGAACGCCCCCAGAACGCCCCAGCCCAACACUUAAGCUCCAUAGGGACUUUCUGCUAAAUCUUCUGUCUCCCACACUGGACUGUGAGCCUCAGGACAGCCUAACCCUCCUUUACCAAUUUUUAUAUUAGCACACUGGACAUUUGGCCUCUGGUACCUGCAGGUUCCGCAUCCACAGAUUCAACCAACUGCAGAUGGAAAAUAUUUGGAAAAAAAGUAAAAAAAAAACCAC